rnacentral:rRNA from 1 species
CGGACUGGAGUCUGCAACCCGACUCCACGAAGUUGGAUUCGCUAGUAAUCGCGCAUCAGCCAUGGCGCGGUGAAUACGUUCCCGGGCCUUGUACACACCGCCCGUCAAGCCAUGGGAGCCGGGGCGCCUGAAGUCCGGGACCGCGAGGACCGGCCUAGGGCGAAACGUGGUAACUGGGGCUAAGUCGUAACAAGGUACC